CAGGUUUGGGGUGAGUGAGAGUGAGAGUGUGUGUGUGUGUGUUAUAUAUAGUAACCUAACCGGUCCAUUGCUGCAACCCGAAUAACACCAGUUCCUACCCCGGCAUGCAGGCGGCGCUCCACUCCACUCGGAAGGAUGCCCCGGGAGGCAGCGGAUGGUGACUUCGCCGUGCAGUUCGUAUCCUGGGCGACAGAUGAAGCUCAGCGUCUCUCCAGCCUGGAAGAAGGCUUUCUCUGAGCUCUGGAUGGCAGUGGAAGGAGCUCCGGGGUUAGCACAAGCUGGGUACGUCUCCGCUCCACGAAAGAUCCCACUGGCACAUGAGGAUCUCGGAUCCGACCACCUGGAAGCCCGGGUAGCACUGGUAGGUCACCACCGUUCCGUGGAUCAGGUCCGGAUGGGACGUGCUCUUCC